rnacentral:lncRNA from 1 species
UUUGGUUCUGCCAAGCCACCGUGGAAGAGAGUGUGGACUUGGAGACGGAGGGAGAGGGCGGCCAGGCCCCCUUCCUUUCCUGUCCCGUUGAACAGCGAUGAAUGGAGAGAUUUUCAGGGAGAAAUCGGGCUGGUGGUACCCACGUGCAGCUAAGAGGUGCUGUGGUUCCGAUGCUGAGGGAAACUAGGAAGCAGAAUAUGAGACACCCCCUCAAACGGAACAUCUCACCUGCAUUGGCCUACUCUCACUAUGAUUACGAUAACAGAAUACCACAGCCUGAGUGGCUUAAGCAAUGGAAAUUUACUUCUCACCCUUCUGGAGGCUGAGAAGUUCAAGAUCAAGGUGCUGGCAAGGCAGAAGAUACAAAAUAUACAUUUGGGAUGCUAACAGGACAUAGAAAAUCUGCCAAGCGACCGUGGAAAAUGGUCCAGGCCUGUGGGCCCAAGAAGCUGGGAGAAUUGGUGAUGUGCAUGCAUGUGUGGGUGUUAGAAAC